rnacentral:rRNA from 1 species
GUCGAGCGGACAGAUGGGAGCUUGCUCCCUGAUGUCAGCGGCGGACGGGUGAGUAACACGUGGGUAACCUGCCUGUAAGACUGGGAUAACUCCGGGAAACCGGGGCUAAUACCGGAUGCUUGAUUGAACCGCAUGGUUCAAUUAUAAAAGGUGGCUUUUAGCUACCACUUACAGAUGGACCCGCGGCGCAUUAGCUAGUUGGUGAGGUAACGGCUCACCAAGGCAACGAUGCGUAGCCAACCUGAGAGGGUGAUCGGCCACACUGGGACUGAAACACGGCCCAAACUCCUACGGGAGGCAGCAGUAGGGAAUCUUCCGCAAUGGACGAAAGUCUGACGGAGCAACGCCGCGUGAGUGAUGAAGGUUUUCGGAUCGUAAAACUCUGUUGUUAGGGAAGAACAAGUACCGUUCGAAUAGGGCGGUACCUUGACGGUACCUAACCAGAAAGCCACGGCUAACUACGUGCCAGCAGCCGCGGUAAUACGUAGGUGGCAAGCGUUGUCCGGAAUUAUUGGGCGUAAAGCGCGCGCAGGCGGUUUCUUAAGUCUGAUGUGAAAGCCCCCGGCUCAACCGGGGAGGGUCAUUGGAAACUGGGGAACUUGAGUGCAGAAGAGGAGAGUGGAAUUUCCACGUGUAGCGGUGAAAUGCGUAGAGAUGUGGAGGAACACCAGUGGCGAAGGCGACUCUCUGGUCUGUAACUGACGCUGAGGCGCGAAAGCGUGGGGAGCGAACAGGAUUAGAUACCCUGGUAGUCCACGCCGUAAACGAUGAGUGCUAAGUGUUAGAGGGUUUCCGCCCUUUAGUGCUGCAGCAAACGCAUUAAGCACUCCGCCUGGGGAGUACGGUCGCAAGACUGAAACUCAAAGGAAUUGACGGGGGCCCGCACAAGCGGUGGAGCAUGUGGUUUAAUUCGAAGCAACGCGAAGAACCUUACCAGGUCUUGACAUCCUCUGACAACCCUAGAGAUAGGGCUUCCCCUUCGGGGGCAGAGUGACAGGUGGUGCAUGGUUGUCGUCAGCUCGUGUCGUGAGAUGUUGGGUUAAGUCCCGCAACGAGCGCAACCCUUGAUCUUAGUUGCCAGCAU